CCUCUUUGACCUGACCAGCACCCUGCCUGUCCAGCCAGAAGGACCAGCCGGUGAACCCCUUCUGAAGCAACAUCGCAUUGAAAGAAGCCUCAGCUGGCUAUUAACGGCAGACCCCAGUGCUUAGUGUUUAUAGCUAGCUACUGUGAGUGUAUGUGCAUGUGCUUGAGGGGAUCAGCACCAAGGUUUAUGGUCUGACUUCUGCAUCCGUCCAAUAAAUUAGAAUGUUAUGAUGA